rfam:Macaca fascicularis testis cDNA, clone: QtsA-16045, similar to human sterol O-acyltransferase (acyl-Coenzyme A: cholesterolacyltransferase) 1 (SOAT1), transcript variant 688113,mRNA, RefSeq: NM_003101.3.
CCGCCCAGCAGGCGACGUUGCGGGCGCUGGGCGCCAGGAGAGGUUCCCGGAGCCGACCUUCCGGCUGGCCGCUCUGUGACUGCUUCCCGGCUCUGCCCUCUUGGCUGAAGUCCCCGCUGCCGGGCGCGGGCCUCAGACAAUACAAUG